CCUACGGGUGGCAGCAGUGAGGAAUAUUGGUCAAUGGACGAGAGUCUGAACCAGCCAAGUAGCGUGAAGGAUGACUGCCCUAUGGGUUGUAAACUUCUUUUAUAAAGGAAUAAAACGAGGCACGUGUGCCUUUUUGCAUGUACUUUAUGAAUAAGGAUCGGCUAACUCCGUGCCAGCAGCCGCGGUAAUACGGAGGAUCCGAGCGUUAUCCGGAUUUAUUGGGUUUAAGGGGAGCGUAGAUGGGUUGUUAAGUCAGUUUGGAAAGUUUGCGGCUCAACCGUAAAAUUGCAAUUGAUACUGGCAGUCUUGAGUACAGUUGAGGUAGGCGGAAUUCGUGGUGUAGCGGUGGAAUGCUUAGAUAUCACGAAGAACCCCGAUGGCGAAGGCAGCUUACUAAACUGUGACUGACAUUGAGGCUCGAAAGUGUGGGUAGCAAACAGGAUUAGAUACCCGAGUAGUC
rnacentral:rRNA from 1 species